UACGGAGGGGGCUAGCGUUGUUCGGAAUUACUGGGCGUAAAGCGCACGUAGGCGGACUGUUAAGUCGGGGGUGAAAUCCUGGGGCUCAACCUCAGAAUUGCCUCCGAUACUGGCAGUCUCGAGUGCGGGAGAGGUGAGUGGAAUUCCCAGUGUAGAGGUGAAAUUCGUAGAUAUUGGGAAGAACACCAGUGGCGAAGGCGGCUCACUGGCCCGUAACUGACGCUGAGGUGCGAAAGCGUAGGGAGCAAACAGG
rnacentral:rRNA from 1 species